rnacentral:rRNA from 1 species
AUGAAGCUGGAUUCGCUAGUAAUCGCGCAUCAGCCACGGCGCGGUGAAUACGUUCCCGGGCCUUGUACACACCGCCCGUCAAGCCAUGGGAGUUUGUAACGCCCAAAGUCGGUGGCCUAACCUUUAUGGAGGGAGCCGCCUAAGGCGGGACAGAUGACUGGGGUGAAGUCGUAACAAGGUAAC